rnacentral:rRNA from 1 species
AUUGAACGCUGGCGGCAUGCCUUACACAUGCAAGUCGAACGGCAGCAUAGGAGCUUGCUCCUGAUGGCGAGUGGCGAACGGGUGAGUAAUAUAUCGGAACGUGCCCUAGAGUGGGGGAUAACUAGUCGAAAGACUAGCUAAUACCGCAUACGAUCUACGGAUGAAAGUGGGGGAUCGCACGACCUCAUGCUCCUGGAGCGGCCGAUAUCUGGUUAGCUAGUUGGUGGGGUAAAAGCUCACCAAGGCGACGAUCAGUAGCUGGUCUGAGAGGACGACCAGCCACACUGGGACUGAGACACGGCCCAGACUCCUACGGGAGGCAGCAGUGGGGAAUUUUGGACAAUGGGGGCAACCCUGAUCCAGCAAUGCCGCGUGAGUGAAGAAGGCCUUCGGGUUGUAAAGCUCUUUUGUCAGGGAAGAAACGGUUCUGGAUAAUACCUGGAGCUAAUGACGGUACCUGAAGAAUAAGCACCGGCUAACUACGUGCCAGCCGCCGCCGUAA